rnacentral:piRNA from 1 species
UGACCAAUGAAAAGAGUUCUAGAUCACCAAC